AGUGUGCCCUUUCCCUCCUGCCUUUUUAGUAGCUCCGGGUAAAUAUUGAUUUGCCUCCAGUUUACCUCCUCCCUGAAUGGCCGUUUGCAGACUGAGGAACUAGCCUCUGGAGCGACUCGAUUUUUGUGUUACUUUCCGGCCCGUUCGCCCCCCUUUCUUCCUCCAAGUGGCAUUGUAAAACUCACAGUGACAAAGAAACAGGGUAGGGUUCGAGGCCCCAGUUCCUGAGAGGUUGAGGGCUGUUUUACAUACAGGUCAGACACGGCUAGAGGCCAAGGUCAAGUUGAAAGUUGCAGUCUAGCCAGCGUGAGAACUGCUAUGCAAGCCUGGAGACCCAGGCAGCUGCCGAUAAGCCCACUGCUCACCUCCCUUGU
rnacentral:lncRNA from 1 species